UUCUCCCUAUGUGACAGGUCUGGACACACAAUGACCAAUGGUUUCCACCACUGACCUUUAAGCAGGCAAACUUCAGCUCUCUCCUGAUCCUUAAACAAUAUGAUUAAGUGAUGAUGGUGAUAGGACCAAGUUCUCUGCAUUCUUGGACCAGCAUAAAGAUCAGCACCAACUGACUACAGUCUACAGAGGGAUGCAGAUUGUCUGGGCUGUUGGCCGGCCGUUUAUGAACCAGAGGAUCCCUUGUAAAUUAGGAUGGAGAAGACCAAUUACGCUGUACUUGCUGCCAAGCAAAUGUCUCUGGCUGCCGGUUUACCACAGCCACGGGAAGGAGCCAAACUCUCCACCUCUCCAAACUAACGUUGUGCUAUACUUUGACUGUAGUAAUUGUCGUGAGGCUGACAUUCCAAACACAUAAAAGCCAAACACAUGUGCUGACACAAAUAAUUACGACAUGUGCAAUCGUGUUUAUAUUUGCAAUUGGGUGCAUACUUAGGCAGGGUGCAGUUUCUGUGGACAGCAUCAUAAUUGUAGUGAAAAGUAAAAGGCAGUGACUUGACAGAGACUUGUUUUAACUUUAAAGGACCGGUUUCCAUGGAAACAACAACAGUAUCACCAAUAACCCUGUCUAAAAACUUUGGGGGAAGGCUGCGUGGCGUAAUAACGGGUAACAACCUGGAGUGCAACAACAAAUAAAACUGUUGGGAUGCAAUCAAACCCAAUCUGCUGUGGAUGACAGAUUCCAGUGACAUCAACUUAUGUAAAAACCAUACAUUGGAUUCAAUAUUUCACGUGUAGCAGUAAAUCAAAUUACUAUGUUUAUAUAUGUGUACUUCAAACACGAAUAUCUAUUACGAUCAACACAGGGCUGUACUCUACCGUGAUGUGCCAUUAAUUCGUAUUACUUGCCACUAGACGACAUGAUUAAAGUAUAAUUUGCAGGCGUCAUACGAGAUGGAAAAUAUAAAAGGUAUUCAGAUCAAAGCUAAAAGUUUACAGUAUUUUAAAAAAGGAAAAUAAACAGAACACAACCAGCAGUUGUCUUCUUAAAAAAACUGAGCUGGUGUUUAUGUAGCAGCUCCUUUCAUUAGCGCUCUUUUUCUGCAGUAACUGUAAAACGACUGUGUGUCGGCUGGGGCAGUGGGUCUGGUAUCAUCACAGACACUUCAUUAAUAACAGAGGUGCGGUGGGACGGCUGAGAUCAGGAGAUGACAGUGGAGGACACUCCACCCAUAUCACACUCUUCUGGCAGAGUAAUGGAGACCGACAUGGCGGGUCAACAGAGAUGAGGUGAGGCUAUGUUUGAUGGAGAGAAGUGUCAGAGGAACUGACAUGACAUGAAGUAAAGACUGAUGCUGAAAUAAACAAAGAGUACAAGGGCACGCAACAGAACGGUUAUCCCCAGACAGCAGAGUACCUUUUUUUCACUGUAUUAUUCAUUUUUAAAAAGCAAAAGUCAUAAUAAACUCAAGACCUUUCCAUUACUGUAACUUGUGCAUUGACUGACUUAAUUGUACACAGAAGUAUAUGAACAAACUUUCAUGUAAAGGUGAGAGAGAAGACUGAAAAAAUAUACAGCCGCAUCUGCUCUGGCCAAAAUGCAGUACAUGACCCAGAGGCCUCUUUUGUAGCUUUCUGAAAAAUAAUUUAAAUCUGUGCAAAUAAAUAAUAAUGCAAUGAAAGAUCCAGACAGAGAGAUGACACGUGAAGUAAUAAAUAUGGCCUCUGUCUAGCUCCUAGGAUUAUAAAGGAGAAUCUGGACAAACAGGCGGAGGAGAAUGUACAACUUAAGUGAUGAGGAAAAUAUUGGUUUUGAUGUAACCUCAUGGCUGAGGAUGAAUGUUUUUCACCUGUGUUACAGGAAUGUCCAAUAAAAGAUCACAAAGUCAUGCAGGCCAGAAAAGUUGGCAUUUACUGUCCUUACGUGUACAGUUGCAUUUUUAAAACAUCAAUUUAUCAGAUUUCAUAGUUCAAAAGAAGGCAACUAUAAAGACAUCCUGCCUCCACACAAAGUACACAUUCUUCAAAUAUAAGAAAGGAAUGAGUAAUUGGUCAAAAUGGCCAGAUACAAAAAUAGACAGACAGAUACAUACCAUUAUUCUAAACCUAUGCAGUGUAAAAAAACGUGGACAAGGACCUUCUUAAACUGACAAUGAGCAAUACUGCAAACACUUCUGUGGUCCUCUGCUGCUGUGAUAAUGUAAAUAAAAAAAGCUGCUGAUUGGCUGAAGCCAAAGGGCUGUAAUGAAAUCCACAUGUAAGCAGAAA